rnacentral:snRNA from 1 species
GGAUGUGAGGGCGAUCUGGCUGCAACAUCUGCAAUCCAUUGAUAUUGGCUGACAUGGCAGAUCUGGCUGGCUAUGUGUCUCCUUCUUCCCUCACUGCUCCAUGUGUAUCCCUCUUGAAGCUGCUCACUCAGUGAAAGAGGAUGACCAUCCCAGAUAGAAGUAUACCGAUUGUCAGGGUU